rnacentral:rRNA from 1 species
CCGGGGUUAACUCGGAGGAAGGUGGGGAUGACGUCAAAUCAUCAUGCCCCUUAUGUCUUGGGCUUCACGCAUGCUACAAUGGCCGGUACAAAGGGCUGCAAUACCGCAAGGUGGAGCGAAUCCCAAAAAGCCGGUCUCAGUUCGGAUUGAGGUCUGCAACUCGACCUCAUGAAGUCGGAGUCGCUAGUAAUCGCAGAUCAGCAACGCUGCGGUGAAUACGUUCCCGGGCCUUGUACACACCGCCCGUCAAGUCAUGAAAGUCGGUAACACCCGAAGCCGGUG